UACGUAGGGGGCAAGCGUUGUCCGGAAUUAUUGGGCGUAAAGCGCGUGUAGGCGGCCAGAUAAGUCCGCUGUGAAAUCUCGAGGCUCAACUUCGAGCUGUCGGUGGAAACUGUCUGGCUAGAGUCCGGAAGAGGAGAAUGGAAUUCCUGGUGUAGCGGUGAAAUGCGCAGAUAUCAGGAAGAACACCCGUGGCGAAGGCGGUUCUCUGGGGCGGUACUGACGCUGAGACGCGAAAGCGUGGGGAGCGAACAGG
rnacentral:rRNA from 1 species